rnacentral:rRNA from 1 species
UAGGGAAUCUUGCGCAAUGGGCGAAAGCCUGACGCAGCCAUGCCGCGUGAAUGAUGAAGGUCUUAGGAUUGUAAAAUUCUUUCACCGGGGACGAUAAUGACGGUACCCGGAGAAGAAGCCCCGGCUAACUUCGUGCCAGCAGCCGCGGUAAUACGAAGGGGGCUAGCGUUGCUCGGAAUUACUGGGCGUAAAGGGCGCGUAGGCGGACAGUUAAGUUAGAGGUGAAAGCCCAGGGCUCAACCUUGGAAUUGCCUUUGAUACUGGCUGUCUUGAGUACGGGAGAGGUGAGUGGAACUCCGAGUGUAGAGGUGAAAUUCGUAGAUAUUCGGAAGAACACCAGUGGCGAAGGCGACUCACUGGCCCGUUACUGACGCUGAGGCGCGAAAGCGUGGGGAGCAAACA